CCUUCAUCACCAUCACACAUCUCUACCUUAUCCCACACACUUCUCUCUCUCUCUUUCUCUCUCUCUUAGGAUAACCAUUUUCCAGAUCUUAAACAAAAAUUCUUCUUCUUAUCAAAAUCCUUCAUAAUCAACCACCAUAACUCCAAAUGCUCCGAACAAAAAAGAUACUCCGAAUUAAAAAAAAAAAACUCCAAAUGCUCCGGUUGAAGAUGCGCCGGGAAGAUGCAACCAGAUCCAAAAGAUGCUCCAGAUCCGGUUGAAUAUGUUCGAUAUUGAAGAUGAUGUUUUUCAGAUGACGGUUCAAUGUUGAAGAUAAUCCAAAAGAUGUUGAAGAUGUUCCAGAUCUAAAAGAUCCCCCAGAUCAAUAAAGUGACGUGAAGCAUGGUGUGGUUCAUAUGACGGUUCGAUGUUUUAGAUCUGAAGCAUUUAGUUCUUGUUUUCUGGAUAUGUUGUUUUUUAUUACUGAUUUUUUCAUUUUUUUUGUGUAAAAUUUGUUUUCAGAUAUGAAACAAUUUGAUUUAAGUUCUUAUGUAUUGGAUUCUUGUUAAUGAAGUUAUAUUUUUUAUGUA